rnacentral:rRNA from 1 species
UACGAAGGGGGCUAGCGUUGCUCGGAAUCACUGGGCGUAAAGGGUGCGUAGGCGGGUCUUUAAGUCAGGGGUGAAAUCCUGGAGCUCAACUCCAGAACUGCCUUUGAUACUGAAGAUCUUGAGUUCGGGAGAGGUGAGUGGAACUGCGAGUGUAGAGGUGAAAUUCGUAGAUAUUCGCAAGAACACCAGUGGCGAAGGCGGCUCACUGGCCCGGUACUGGCGCUGAGGUGCGAAAGCGUGGGGAGCAAACAGG